rnacentral:rRNA from 1 species
UCUGAUCCAGCCAUGCCGCGUGCAGGAAGACGGCCCUAUGGGUUGUAAACUGCUUUUGUAUGGGAGCAAUAAGAUCUACGUGUAGAUUGAUGAGAGUACCAUACGAAUAAGCACCGGCUAACUCCGUGCCAGCAGCCGCGGUAAUAACAAAAGC